rnacentral:lncRNA from 1 species
GCCAUGGUCUCCAAGGUUGACCACAAAGGCUCCUUCCACAGGUUGGACAGUGAUCCAAGUCUUGCCAUUGUCCCGGGUGGCCUGAAGCCCACCAACUUGGUCUUGAAGCAAGAGUGUGAUGGUGCCUGGGUCAGUGUGGCGCUUGAGUCCUAAAGUGAGGUCAGGUUGAGGGCAUUUAGGAUAGAAGUUAACCACCACUUUCUGAUCCAUGUCCACACAUGCCUUUGUCAAGGCCUCCUUCUCUAAACCCAUGGCCUCUGACAACACCUCAAGAAGCUUGCAAGCUAGGCCCAUCAACUUCUCGCUGUACUCCUUUGUAACUUCAACCCAACCCUCUGGCUUAUCAG